AUACCAGCCCCCUGAGUGGUAAGGACGAUUAUUUGGCCUAAAGCGUUCGUAGCCGGCUUAUCAAGUCUUUUGUUAAAUCCAACGAUUCAAUCGUUGGGCCGCAAAAGAUACUGUUAUGCUAGAGGACGGGAGAGGUCGACGGUAUUCCAGGGGUAGGGGUGAAAUCCUAUAAUCCUUGGAGGACCACCAGUGGCGAAGGCGGUCGACUAGAACGUGCCUGACGGUGAGGGACGAAAGCUGGGGGAGCGAACCGGAUUAGAUACCCGAGUAGUCC
rnacentral:rRNA from 1 species